UACAGAGGGUGCAAGCGUUGUUCGGAAUUAUUGGGCGUAAAGGGAGUGUAGGCUGCUUUUUAAGUCUUCUGUGAAAUCUACGGGCUUAGCCUGUAACGUGCAGAGGAAACUGGGAAGCUUGAGUGUCGGAGAGGAUAGGGGAAUACCCGGUGUAGAGGUGAAAUUCGUAGAGAUCGGGUGGAACACCAGUGGCGAAGGCGCCUGUCUGGCUGACAACUGACGCUGAGACUCGAAAGCAUGGGGAGCAAACAGG
rnacentral:rRNA from 1 species